rnacentral:tRNA from 12 species
AGCUUGGUCUAGUGGCAGGAUACGCGCUUCGGGAGCGCGAGGUCGUGGGUUCGAUUCC